rnacentral:rRNA from 1 species
UACGGGGGGGGCAAGCGUUGUUCGGAAUUACUGGGCGUAAAGGGCUCGUAGGUGGCCAACUAAGUCAGACGUGAAAUCCCUCGGCUUAACCGGGGAACUGCGUCUGAUACUGGAUGGCUUGAGUCCGGGAGAGGGAUGCGGAAUUCCAGGUGUAGCGGUGAAAUGCGUAGAUAUCGAGAGGAACACCUGCGGCGAAGGCGGGUUGCUGGGCCGACACUGACGCUGACAGCGCGAAAGCUAGGGGAGCGAACGGG